rnacentral:lncRNA from 1 species
UGUUAAAGACCAAACAGCCUAUUCAUUUCUACCAGUGAUUUUUCCUUAAAAUUUUGUGUGAAGGUAUUUCAUGAUUUGAGGAACAAAAUAUGAUGAAAAAAAUUGGGGGUCACCGACUUAGUUUUGUCGCUAUAGCAACCUCAGUUUCGUGUUUUCCCGAAUAUUAACAUAAUAUGUGCUUGUUAUAUAAACUCUCCAAAAAAUACUUUAUAUCAAACCUACAAGCAUAAUUCUUGUUUCACGUUAAACAGUAGAUUUGUAUCUAUCAAAUACAGGUUCAAGAGUUUUAGACUCGUAUUGUUUUGAUCUUUAAAAAUAUGAUUUAUUUCAUUCCCGCCAAAAAUAAAACGUAAAAAUGAAAAACGUUUCCAGUAUUAAAAAAUAUCUACCAGUGAUUUCUUCAUAAUAAUUUCAAGAAGGAAAGUGCCAUGUGUACUCUUCAAAAUAAAGCAAUAAAAAGCGUAUGUCACCGACCUUUCAAAAAAGUUAUAAGUAAUUUUCAUGUUUUUUUUCUCGUUCAUUUUGAAGAAAAGAGUUGUCUUUUUUCAGACCAUUGCAUCUGACGUCAUAGUACAAACUUUCCUUGCUGGCGCACUAUUUGAAAAAAAAUCGCAAAUUGAACGUUUGAAACCCACAUUUAAAUUUCCAAGAAUGACAACUAUAUUCACCUACUUUAUUAUCUGGUAAUACAAGAGAUUAAAUGCAUGUGUCAGUAUCAGAUCUUACGAUGUUGCCGCACAAUAUUAACCUUCAGAAACACCAUCCGUCGGAAUGGAAAAUUGUUUAAAAUAACCUUUCACGCCGCUUUUGUUAGGAAAGUCUGUCUUUGUCCUCUGUCCCACAUAAGCAAAAUGAUUGAAAAUAAAAAAAGAAAUGAAAGAUGGCACUGGUUAACUUACAGAGUAUUUGACUAUACCAGACUAGAUGUGCUUGUUUCUUUUUCGAGUCAAUUUCAGAAGAUUGCCGUAACGAACUCAUUCGGUACUGUUGAAAGACGGACAUACAAAAGCAUGGACGGAGUUCUUUACACCAUUAUUUUUGCCGACAUAGGACGAAC